rnacentral:rRNA from 1 species
GUACGGGGGAGCAAGCGUUGUUCGGAUUUACUGGGCGUAAAGGGCGCGUAGGCGGCCACCGCAAGUCGACUGUGAAAUCUCCGGGCUUAACCCGGAAAGGUCAGCCCGAUACUGCGGGGCUAGAGUGCAGAAGGGGCAACUGGGAAUUCUCGGGUGUAGCGGUGAAAUGCGUAGAUAUCGAGAGGAACACCUGCGGCGAAGGCGGGUUGCUGGGCUGACACGUGCGCUGAGGCGCGAAAGCCAGGGGAGCAAACGGG